AUGAACGCUGGCGGCGUGCCUAAUACAUGCAAGUCGAGCGAACAGAUGAGGAGCUUGCUCCUCUGACGUUAGCGGCGGACGGGUGAGUAACACGUGGAUAACCUACCUAUAAGACUGGGAUAACUUCGGGAAACCGGAGCUAAUACCGGAUAAUAUAUUGAACCGCAUGGUUCAAUAGUGAAAGACGGUUUUGCUGUCACUUAUAGAUGGAUCCGCGCCGCAUUAGCUAGUUGGUAAGGUAACGGCUUACCAAGGCAACGAUGCGUAGCCGACCUGAGAGGGUGAUCGGCCACACUGGAACUGAGACACGGUCCAGACUCCUACGGGAGGCAGCAGUAGGGAAUCUUCCGCAAUGGGCGAAAGCCUGACGGAGCAACGCCGCGUGAGUGAUGAAGGUCUUCGGAUCGUAAAACUCUGUUAUUAGGGAAGAACAAAUGUGUAAGUAACUAUGCACGUCUUGACGGUUCCUAAUCAGAAAGCCACGGCUAACUACGUG
rnacentral:rRNA from 1 species